rnacentral:misc_RNA from 1 species
UGCUGCUGCCGUGUCCAUGGC